UUUUACUAAAAUCUAUCAAAGAAUUGGUUACCCGAAAUUAUAAGAGCUAUCAAUAGUAUAACUUUAGGUUAUGAAUAUUAAGGCUGUGGCAUCAUCUUUAACAAUAAUUAUUGAUAGGAGCGAAAUACUUCCACUUUUGAUGAUAUCUGGAUAGUAGAUAAAUACAUUCAGUGUAUUUCACAAAUCUAUUAAGUAAUAAGAUUUAAUAGAAUAAAAUAAAUCUGAGUAACGUUGAGUACUUUUUUAUUCAAUAUAUAAUGAAGAAUGCUUAUAUAACAACUAAACUAGGUCAAUUAUUUAUUCGUAUUUGCUUGAUAGGUCAAAUGAUACUCAUCUAUUUAAUAAUGUAAAAAUAAGUAGAAAAUAAAAUAAUAUUUAAGGAACUCGGCAAAUAAUCUUUUUGACUGUUUACCAAAAACAUAGCGGCAUGAGUUUCAUAUGCGGUUUAAUCUGCCCAGUGUAACAAUUAACGGCCGCAGUACUUUGACUGUGCUAAGGUAGCAUAAUAAUUUGGCUUUUAAUUGAGGUCUGGUAUCAAAGAAUUUACAAAAAGCUACUGUCUCGGAUGUUGUUCUCCGAAAUUAUUUAAUAAGUGAAAAUGCUUAUAGUAACAAAAAAUAGACGAGAAGACCCUUAGAAUUUUAAGAAAUAGGUGCCAGAGAAGGUUUAAUGCUUUUUGUUGGGGCAACAUAUUUUCACCUUAAAUAAAAUAUUUUUAACACAAUUCACCGAUUAAUAUUAACAUAUAAAUUACCUGAGGGAUAACAGCAUAAUUUAAUUAGUAAGUUUGUGACCUCGAUGUUGGACUAGGGACGCUAUGCACGAGACGUACAUAGCGGAUGUUCUGUUCGAACAUUUUAAACCUACAUGAUCUGAGUUCAGACCGG
rnacentral:rRNA from 1 species